UGUAUAUCCUGUGUGUGGUGUUAUCAUGAAGCCUUAAAGCCUGCAUAAACCAAAUCAAAGGAAAUGCUUUAACAGGCUGUUAUGUCUGGGUCUCUGAAAGAUUCCCCCUGGAGCUCUGAGCGAGGCCUCACCCUAGAUGACCUGGUCUGGCUGCUCCCUGUUCCCACUGACCUUUGGGCAGAGGACACAUCUCUGGCUGCAAGCACAGCAUAUGAUCAGAGGGUGGGGAAGUCCCUUUUAAUCUUGGUGACACCGCUUUUCACCUCCAUUGGUGACUUACUGGGGGCCGGUGCUCCUGUUUCACCCUGGGAUACCAGACGAUGGAGGAUGCCUCUAGCCCAGGUACCCUGGCAACCGUUCAUGGAGCCUACAGCUCCACUCUCCAAACCUCCACCCCCUAACCCCUUCACUCCCCCAGCCCUCAACCCUCCAUCCCUUCACCCAGCGUCCCCAGUCCAGGGCUCUGGCCACACAUAAACCCCAGACAGGCCUCUGAUGGAUGGGGCUGGAGAGAGAAGAGAAGCCCUUGAUGUUGGAAAUAAAUCUGACAGGCCCUACUGGAAGGGGCCUAAUCUUUCCCAGACUAAGGAUUUUUCAUUUAUUUUUUAUUUUUAUAUCCUUCUCUCUCUUUAUUUCCACCCCCACUCUCUUCUCUUCAUCCAUGUCUACAGAGAUAAUGCUGUAAUUUACAGCCAAGCAUUAUGGAAGAUGAAUGAUAGUUGCUUUUAGAUUUAAUACACAUUAGCCUUUAACAGAUAAUAGCCUACUGGUAAGAGGAAAACAAAGAAAUACCUUCAAAAGGAAUUCGUUAUUUGGUCAUAUUCUUCCCCUAAUGUUCUAGUUAUAUAAUUCCUGUUCUUUCAUAAGAUUCAAGUUGCUACUGAUCAAAGUACACUGAUCAAUCUUCUUUUCAAAGGUACCUUGCUUUUAUUUUUCAUAUUCAUGGAUAAAGUAUGGUUGAGAAUAGACAAUAAAGCAAUGCUUUUCCCAUUUUUGUGACUGUGAUUUUCCUGAGUGUGUACAUGUGUGAAACUGGCUGUAAAGACACACUGUGGAUAUAA